GCCGGAGGAUGCUGCGUGGGCUCGGUUGUCCUGCCAUAAGUAGUAGAAAGUGCCCAGGAUCCAGGCUACGGUCAGGAUGGCGAUGGCAUUGGCGCGGAUCUUCCUCAUGGUGACCGAACGCCUGGCAGCUGCCCCCGCGCGGCCCUGGUCGGUCCUGCCUACCCACAUCCACCCCCGGACCGAGCGGCCCUGAGUCACUGACUGGAGACGCGCGACCCCCGACCUGGGCCCGCGCCGCCAAGCUGCAGUUCCGGGCUGCGCUCUGGCGCGGGAUUCAAGGAAUGGACUCCAGCAGCAUCACAGAAUCAAAACAACACCUAAGGAAUUCACUGUUUCUUCACAUACUUUGAACUUUGAAAACAAGAGCCAUCAUAAUAGCUACAAUUUACUCAGUACCUACCAGGUGCCAGCCACUGUGCCACCACUUCACCUAUACUGUCUCUAAAGCCCCUACAACCCUGAGCUAAGGAUGAUCAUAUCCCCAGCUGCAGAUGAUGACACUGAAGCUCAAAGGCUACUCAACUUGCCUGGAAUCUUACAGCAAGAGGAGGAGAAGAAACAGGCUUACACUGAGCGAAUCUAAUGUGCAGACAGACACACAGGGAAGGUGACCAUUUGAAGACAGAGGCAGACACUGGAGUUGUGCAACUGCAAACCAAGAAAUGCCAAGGAUUGCCGACAACCACCAGAAACUAGAAGAGGCAAGGUAGGAUUCUCCCCUAGAGCCUUCAGGAAGAGCACAACCCUGCUGACACCUUAAUUUUGAACUUCUAGCUUCCUUAACUGCAAGAAAAUAAACCUCGGUUGUUUUAAGUCAGCAGUUUGUGUUACUUUGACCACAGCCCUACAAAACAAAUAUACCAUAGGAUGAAAUUUCAUUCAGUAAUAAAAAGAAUGCAGUACUGAAACAUGCUAUAGCAUGGAAGAAUCUUCAGUACAUUAUCCUAAGUUAAAGCAGCCAGUCACAAAAGACCACACAUUGUAUGAUUCCUUUUACACAAAACACCCAGAUCUAGAAAGACAUAAAUAUUAGUGGUUGCCUACAGCUGGGGUCUCAGGGGAGUCAGGGAUAAGGAGUGACUGCUAAUUGGUAUGGGUUUCUUUUUGGGGUGGUAAAAAUGUUCUAAAAUUUGACUAUGGUGAUGUUUGCACAACUCUAUGAAUAUACUAAAAUCAUUAAAUUGUACACUUUGAAGAAUUGUAUGGUGUGUGAAUUACAUCUCAAUAAAGCCAUUAAAAAAUGAUUUGGG